GGUUAGGGCCAUACCACCUGAAGCGGAAGAGUGUCGAUCUCGGCCGAUCUCGGAAGCUAAGCAGGGUCGGGCCUGGUUAGUACUUGGAUGGGAGACCGCCUGGGAAUACCAGGUGCUGUAAGCU
rnacentral:rRNA from 1 species